CCAAUAGCGUAUAUUAAAGUUGUUGCAGUUAAAAAGCUCGUAGUUGAAUUUCGGGAUCAAUGGGUUGGUCAUGCCCUCGGUAUGUACUGAUUUCAUUGGUUCUCACCUUCUAAGGAACCAUGAUGUCAUUUAUUUGAUGUUGUGGGAAAUUAGGACUGUUACCUUGAAAAAAUUAGAGUGUUUAAAGCAGGCUAACGCUUGAUUACAUUAGCAUGGAAUAAUGAAAUAGGACAUCCGAUUCUAUUUUGUUGGUUUCUAGGAUCGAUGUAAUGAUUAAUAGGGAUAGUUGGGGGCAUUAGUAUUCAAUUGUCAGAGGUGAAAUUCUUGGAUUUAUUGAAGACUAACUACUGCGAAAGCAUUUGCCAAGGAUGUUUUCAUUAAUCAAGAACGAAAGUUAGGGGAUCGAAGACGAUCAGAUACCGUCGUAGUCUUAACCAUAAACUAUGCCGACUAGGGAUCGGAUGAUGCUUAUUUUUUAAUGACUCAUUCGGCACCUUAC
rnacentral:rRNA from 1 species